CGGUCACAUCACAUUAAAUCAUUGGUUCCCAUACGAUCGCCAAAGUUAAGCAAUGUCAGGCCUGGUCUGUAUCUAGAUGGGUAACUACUUGGGAAUACCAGGUGCUGUAA